UUUGCUGUAUUGUGGGUAUGUCUCUCAGGAGAUAUCUGCAUCCGGUUCCUGUAGGCCUGUACUUCUUUGCUUCAUCCAUCUUAUCUAAUUGGGUGGCUGUAUGUGUAUGGGCCACAUGUGGGGCAGGCUCUGAAUGGGUGUUCCUUCUGCCUAUCUUCUAAACUUUACCUCCCUAUUCCCUGACAAAGGUAUUCUUGUUCCCCUUUUAAAGAAGGAGUGAAGCAUUCACAUUUUGGUCAUCUUUCUUGAGUUUCAUGUGUUCCGUGCAUCAAGGGUAAUUCAAGCAUUUGGGCUAAUAGGCACUUAUCAAUGAGUGCAUACAAUGUGUGUUUUUCUGUGAUUGGGUUACCUCACUCAGGAUGAUAUUUUCCAGUUCCAUCCAUUUGCCUAUGAAUUUCAUAAAGGCAUUGUUUUUGAUAGCUGAGUAAUAUUCCAUUGUGUAGAUGCACCACAUUUUCUGUAUCCAUUCCUCUGUUGAAGGGCAUCUGGGUUCUUUCCAGGUUCUGGCUAUUAUAAAUAAGGCUGCUAUGAACAUAGUGGAUCAUGUGUCUUUGUUAUAUGUUGGGGCAUCCUUUACGUAUACGCCCAAGAGAGGUAUAGCUGAGUCCUCGGGUAGUUCAAUGUCCAAUUUUCUGAGGAACCUCCAGACUGAUUUCCAGAAUGGUUGUACCAGUCUGCAAUCCCACCAACAAUGGAGGAGUGUUCCUAUUUCUGCACAUCCUCGCCAGCAUUUGCUGUCACCUGAGUUUUGACAACCAUCCCUUUUCGCCCUUUCCUCCAAGUAGCAUCGCCAUGGGCGUAAGAUCAGUGCAGCUACCAUUAACCCAAUGUAAGGCCACCACAAUAGAGAACGGUGAAAACAGAACAUAAAGAGUAGGGUGGCUCCCAGGACAAAUACUAUAGCCUCAACAAAUCCUUCCCAAGGCGGUGACAAUCCCAGACCAAAGUCCAAGAGAGGGCUGCCUCUUCGAACGUAUCUACCUGCAGUUCUGAAUCCUCCUUGUCGCCAAGGGAUCUCCGAAUGUGCUGACGAUGGCGAGGUCUUUCCCGGGUUUUCGGCACCAGAUGUCCCGCGCUUCGUCUCGCCAGCAGGAACGACGCGGCACACACAGGAUCCUACUACAGAAAAGCUUUAAUGCGUCUUGAGAGGGAGAUCAUAAGCUUACAAUGCGGAGACGGAGAGUGAGGAAUAACCGUCCCUUAUAUAGGAAACUAUCCUCGCCUAGGACGUGUCACUCUCUGACUGGUCGCUGCCAAUUAUGCCAUAUGACGUACCAAAACGUAUGUGUCCCUUUGAGUAGGGAAGUUACCAGGCACCUGCGUAUUGCCCUUUUUACUAGGUGCGUUCUGCCGGAUGCCGGUGCCAUCUUGUAAUGGAGUUUGUGAGGACAGCUCCUCGGACAGCUCCUCACAUAAAGCCCUAGAAAUCCCCUGUGAUUUCAUAUUCCCUUCCAUCCCCAUUCUUCAGGAGCUCAAACACUUCUGGAAUCCAGUUCAACAUCACCAUGAUUAGGACCACUGACUGAAAUUGAUGUAAAACCUGCUGUUGCUAGAGGGAUAAAAGAUACAUUCAGCUUUCUUCUAUUCUUGCCUCUCUCUAUUAUAAAAGAAAGCCACUGUCUCUGCCAUGUGUUCAGCUGCACACUUAGUGAAGUAGACUUAGUAAAGUCUGUAACAAGUAUUAAUGUAAGAGAGUAAUAAAUAAAAUACUUUGUAAAACAGUAUCCUUAUGCAGAAAAAGUGAAGCUUAGAACUCAAGACUCACUUGGGGAUAGACAAUGUGAUCCUCCAAUGAACAUGUCAAAAGACCAACUUGUACAACACGAGGAGGAAGAAAUGUAGGAGAAAAGAACAGAGAGCAGAAGCAUCUGUUUUGUAGAGAAGGGGACAGGUAUGCCAGUGAUUACCUAAAGCCAACAGUUCCCUUCACUACAGCCUUUGUAGGAAAAAUGAAAGUCACAGGUGCCUGGUGUUUUUGAUGACUUAUGAAAUCUGGAGGAGAAUAUUGAGAAAUAUUCUGACAAACAGUUUGACCUACAAAAAAGCUUCAUGGCUGCAUUAGUCACUUGCUUCCACUACAAGUCACUUGACAAAUUCUGCUAAAAGAGGAAGGUUUGUUUUGGCUAAGUUUGGGGGAACAAUCCAUCAUAGCAGGGGAGGUACAGUGACAGGUUGAGGCAGCAGGUCAUAACAGCAUCUGUGGUCUAGAAUCUGAGAAAUGGAUGCUACUGAGCAGCUCCUUCCUUCUUUUCAUUCUCUUUGGGACUUGCUCUGUGGACAGGUACUACUCUUAUCUAAGAUAUAUUCCUCAAUUAACUCAAUCUAGAAACUUCUUCAAAGACAUGCUCAUAGGUUUGUUUCUUACACGAGUUUAGAUGCUACCUUAUUAAAAGUCAUUAAUUACCAUUAGAGUGAUCAAAUAUUAUUUGUGAAUUUGUAUCCUACUUUCAAUGACUUAAUGAAAUAAUGAAUAUAUACUUGUAACACACACACACACACACACACACACACACACACACACACACACACACCAGCUGAAGACAGCAAGUUUUUUCAUGGAAAUUCAAUGAAUGUUCUUUACCUUGGAAUUCAUCAUCUAAGAAGACUCACAGCUCACAAGUUGUAAAUUUCAAUUGUAGCCGAUUUAUUGGAGCACCAGAAACCAGGUAUAUGACCUGGGCAAAGAGAUCUUACAAAAGACUGAUGUGGGAUACAGGCUCUCAAGAUGAUUCUGAAAUUAUAAUUUUACUCGGACUGAAUAUUUUCACUAAAUCAGGCAAUAUGUUUUCCUCAUCUUUAUGAAAUUGCAGCAUAUUUUAAAGGUUCUAAAUUAGAACUAGGAUCAGAUUAAGGACAGUUUCAGGAUUUCUUAAUUAAGUGUAAAUAAAAAUGUAAAUUCAAUAAAAUUGAAUAAAUUUUAAGAAGUCAGUUUAUAGUUUUAGUAACCAUAUUUCAAGUUUAUAAUUAUCAUUCAUAACAGCACUCACUUCAGCACAAUGCAGAACAAUCCCCUUGUCAUAGAACAUUCCAAUGAGUAGUGUAGUCUAUAUCCCUAUACUUAAUUCUUUAAACAAAUACUGUAUUGCAACCCUCCCAAAUAGAUGUGAACUUUUUCAAUUAUUUUCUCAACUGCUGUGAUAAUAACAAAUAACAAACAAACAAAACUGAUGAAAACUGUUUAAAAAAUAAAGGUUAAUCUGGUUUAAGAGGAUGAAUUCUUUCAUUUAAAGGAAAAACUGAUAGUGGGCAGGGACUGCCAGUCAGCAGUACCUGUAGACAAACUGGACACAUUGCAACCAUAGGAGAGAUAAAGUGAACAGGAAGUAGACUUGGCUGUCCAUCAUCAUGGUCCAUUCCCAGUGAUCCACUCCCUCCAGCUAAUCAUUACCACCUUAAAAAAAUCACACCAGUUUGUAAACAGGUGGGGGUACCCAGUGUUCAAAAAUAUUAACUUGUGUAGAACAGUUUCCAUUCAAAGGAUAAGGAGAGACAUUUUGUUUUUCUUUGCUUCUAGGAGUAUAGGAACAAAAAUGUGUGCAACUAAUCCUGUCCUACGGUCUCCUGUUAAAUGAUUUUACCUGAGAAUAGGCUGUCAUUAUUCCAAACAUCCAUUAUGAGCAAAGUUUUUGUUUAUAUCCUCUGUCCAAAUAUCUCUAGACACAUUCUAUUCCUUAUUCAUGUCUUGGUUUAUCAGUCUUUUAGUGUGGCCUAUUGUUAUUUGGCACCAGCAUUAUUCCAUGAGCAUUGUAGCUUUGCAUAGGUGUUACACUGUAUCUCCUAGAUGGUUCACCAUGAUCUUCAUUGUGCAGCUUAAUUUUCAAGCAGAAACAGUGUUGUAGAAGUUUCAAAAGUUCUCAAGAGCCUGUUUAAUGUCUAAUGAAAAACUUUCUCUCUAUUUAACUUGAAAAAGUCAUGUAACACCUGUCAAUGUCAGAUUCCUUCCUUGUAAAAAGAGAAGAGUUUAUGUGUGCAUUCUAAUAUAGCACUUCAAAAGCAUGAACCACAUAAUUAGUAGAGAAUAGGAGCUAGCAUGGGACCUCUCCUAUCAUUUUAUUUUACUAAACUGUUCCUACUUUGACUCAAUUACCGGGGAGAGGAGGUAACACUUUAAAGGAGAAAAAAAGCACCGUUCUCUUACAUUCUUUUAUCAUUUUUCAUUCACUUUAAUGACAUUCUAGGGAUUAGGGAUGUUCAAUUUUUAGUUAAUUGCUUGAAAUGCAACUACAAGGAACUGGAUUUGGAUCCUCAGAAUCCAUGUAAAAGCUGGACUUGUUAACAUUCUUCUAUAACCUUAUCACUGAGGAAGAGGCACUAGGAUCCUUGGGGCUUCCUAGGCAGACAGUGUAGCCAAAUGAGUAAGCAAUAAAUAAUUGUAAUAGGAGACACUCUCUCAAAAGUGUAAGGGAUGGAAACAACUGAGAGAAAAAUUGUCAUUGGCCUUGGUCAUAUGCAAAGAUGCACAUACAUGUACAUGCACACCUGCAUGCACACACCAACACACACAAACCAGAUGCUAGACCAUAUUUGUCAGAAGUUAGAGGCAGCUUUUCAAGCCAGAAAAUAAUGGAGUCUGACAUAGUGAAUUUAUUAAUUAUCAAACUAACUAACAAAUAAGUAAAUAGCUGAAUUAUUUUUAAGUCAUUACCAGGUACUUUCAAUAAAGAUGAGGAAAAAGUAUAUGCAAUUCUCUUGCUUUCUGGGAUAUAUAUUCUUCAGUAAUUUCAUUUUCAGACAAGAGCUAACAUGGACACAAAAUGGUUAGCACCCUUCAGGGUCACUGCUUGUGCCAUUCCUCCAUGCAAGCAAAGCAAACUUCACAGCUGCCAAACUGCCAGUCGGGGUGCCUGAAUUCCUAUGGUACUCUCUCCAUGUCUCAUUUUUAGAAGAACAAACAUAUCCUUCACAUUUACUACAGACACUUUCUUUGUUUCUUUUUUCUCCUGAGCUUUCUUCUCUCUGCACUCAUCUUCCUUGUCUGUAUUCCCCAUACAUUUUUCUUAAAGUACAAGAUUACAAUAAGGAUAUGGUACUAAUUUGCUUCUCUCUACUGUAUUAAUUUUAGACUAUAUUGCUCAGAUGCAUUGUUACAGUUUGCUUGUAUAAUUUUAUGUUCACCUUGGUAAACAAAAAUAUUCUCUCUAGCUAGUAGUUACUGAAGGAACAUUUAAUACUCUGUGAAUAGUAACAGCAGGGACUUGUGGUGCUUUUAUUAGGUAUUCUUGGUUUUCACAAAGAGCAAAAUCUGCCAUUAACCACGUGGGAAAUUUUCAAGAUGAGAAAGAGGUGAAGAUUGCCUGGAAUAUGUAAUACAGAAAAGUGUAUCACAGACUGUGAGAAAAUACCACUCUCCUUAAGUUUCAAAUCCUGUGUUUCUGAAAAUUAUUUGCUACCACCAAAAACAUCAGUAGUUUAUGUUUUCUGUCUUUCCUACAUGUUCAAAUCUCUGCCAACUGGUUCUCAUCCUUCCCCCAGUUUGAAGGGUUUUAGGGGGACACAAUUUUUUCUAAGUUUAUUCCUAAUCUUGAAUAAUACUAAGUCUAGCACCAAAGGAUACCAUUUACUUGUGUAAGUUUUAUGUGUGUCUCAUCUUUAACAACUGAAAGCAAAUGCUGUUAAAGUCAAAAGAAUUCAAAUUGUGACUUAUGGCAAAGUGCCUGCUCUCAGAAGAAUGCAAUAUUUGACAUCAAGGACUUUUUCCAAGAAUGCAGCUUAUAAGUAAUUAUUACAGGUGGACAGUAAUGGAUACCCAAUCAAACACUGUAAGAGCUGUGUGCAUUAUGAGAUGGGAUUUAGGGAUAAAUGGAAUGUGAGUACACUUUUACUUCUUUUUGAGAGUAUGGAGAUAGCUUUGAGAGCCUCACAUGUGCUAGGAAAGCAUUCUACUAUAGCCAAACUGGUAAGCUCAGGUUCAGUGAGAAAUCCUGCUCAAAUAACAAAGUGGAAAGUGACUGAGGAAGAAAGUAGGUGUGAGCCACAGCACAUGAGAACACACAUGUACCUGUGCAUCAACUGACAUAUGAGCACACAUUACAUAGAUACCACGAAACAUAAUUUAAACCAGCCAACUCUGUUUGCAUUACAGUCCCAAAUGUACAUUUAAGAAAGUAGGGACAUGGUUGGGGACGAAUUGUGUCUAAGAGAACCACUUUGUACUACUUUAUUUCUCCCUCUAAAUCCUGUGUUCACAAUUUAAUACCACAUCAUUUAGAAAUUUAAUUCAAUAAAUUCACUAAGACUAGAGAAAGCAUGGUUUUGUGGAUUUGAGAUUUGAGUACGUGUGUGUGUGUGUGUGUGUGUGUGUGUGUGUGUGUGUGUGUGUGUGUGUAUGAAUGACUGUACACAUGUCUAUUAGACAUUGGAGAAAAAGCUUGAUUGUCAAUUCUCAGAUUGUAAUUACACCUUACUUUUUGAUACGAUGUCUUUCAGUUUUACUCAUAACAGCCAUUUGGCUAGGCUGCUUGGCAAAUAAGCCACAGAAAUCCACCAGUCUUGACCUCCCCUGAGCUGUAAUCUCAAGCCUGCUAUCACACAUGUCUCUAAGAGGAUUUUGAACCUCAAACUCAGGCAUCAUGCUUGUACUUGCAAACAUCUUGGUCACGGAGGUAUUCCUUAUUUCUUUUUCAUUGAAAUGUUAAUGCUUGUAGCAUCUUAUGCUAGAAGUCUCUUCUUUUGUAUCAUCAUUUAAUUGUGUUGAGUUCAUAUUAGAGGAAAAUAUACGAUGGACUCUGAUUCUAGCUCUGGACACUUCUCAUAACACUCUGAACAAUUCUCUUCUAUGGUUUUGAGAUGCUCAAGAUGUUGGAGACUUAUUUAACAUCACUGAAAACAUCAGUAAUAUCUGCUACAUUUCUUACUACUUGCUUAUUUACUACACUGCCAAAUGGUUCUCAUCCUCCCUCGGACAAUAUGAAAGUCUUCAUCCACACUCCAGAGUUAUGGAGCUAGCAUGAGCAAGCCUGGUCACUGGAGUUCCAGUUACAAUUGUCAUAAUAUGUAUUAUUUCUGUUACUUUCAUACACUUGGGACUCACCAAAUUGCCAUCUGAAAUAUUGAACCUCCGUGCUGGUAUGAUCUUUAAACACUUGGGCAUGUUUAUUUUUCAUGUUCGGUAAAUAUAGACAUAAAGGAUGUGAGAGCAGAGAAUAAUUAUUACAAGGCUUUGAGCAUUGCAUCCAGUAAAGAGUUUGGAGACAAGACCAAAAAAGAACUAGGGAGUGCUAAAGCACACAUAGGAGCUCUGUGUAUACUCAGAUUUUGAGAAAACACUAUAGUAAUAAUUUGUCUCACUGCAGUGACCUAAUGUCUGCCAAAAGCAACUUAAGAAUGAAAGGGUAUAUUUUGGCUUAUGCUUGAAGGUACAAAUAACUAUAAUAGGGAAGUCAAUGGCAGCAGGUACAUAAGAUAUCUGGUAAGAUUUAAUGUGAAGUCAGGAGACAGAAAUGGAUUAAACUUGUGUUCUAAUCUCUAACUCUUUGUUCAGUCAGUCCAUGACAGUAGCCCAUGGGACAAUGCUACUUAUAUUCAGAAUGAGUCCUCUCACCUCAAUUAGCUCAAUUUUGAAAUUCCAAUGGCUUAUCUUUUAGGUAAUUUAGAUUUUAUCAAAUUUACAGUAAUUAGAAAACAAAGGAAAUGUAUUUUUAAUUAAAAUGCUCAUUAGACAUUUACCAAGAAAAGAGAAUAGAACUUUGCACUCAAGCCCCGUAAGAUGGUAAAACCAUGCCAGGAAGCUUGGUAAGGUAGAGUGGGUCUGAGGCCCACAAAACUCGAUGGACAACCCUCUUAGAUUUAGGGGACUCCUGACUCCCUGUCAGAUUCCUGGUCUGGAACAUACACCACAGCCCCUCAUAAAGAAACGUAGCCUGUGGUCAAGUAGGCCCAGAACAGAGUUCUCCAAGCUAAUGAUGUACAUAGAGGCCCUGAGGCCCUAGAUAAGCUUGCCUUCCCUGAUAUUCCUCCCUGCAAAAGGUAAACAAUCUCAAGCCCACUCUUCCAGGUUCAGUAUGGAUCUAUUUUCUACCAUGAAUAUUCAGUAAACACUUUAGAGACAUGGACUGUGUCUUUCACCUGCGACUAGCAUUGGGAACAUUGAAAAGGUAUUCACUUAUAGUGAUACAUCUAAAUCUCCCAUAGAAAUCUUAUGUGCACUCCCAGACAAUGACAAGAUAAGAUUACCACUGAGCUAAGCUGGAGCUCCCUUGUUACCUGUCCCAGGCUAGACACAUUCUCUCGACAGACAACAUCUAAGCAGAAUACAGCACUGAGCCUCUCCCCAAACUGUAUACAUAAUCUCUCAGAAGUUCAUGGAUAGUGAAUGACAGUGACUUUUAAACAACUGUUUCUACAGUUCUAAAUACGAUAUCCUAUCUGCUCUUCAUGACAUCAGUAUAUACCAGCUUUCCUUCUCAAACAAAAACAUUAAUCACCUGUCCCAAAGGUACAUUGGGUUUCCUUUGUAGAUAAAACUUUCAAAGAGAGUCAUCUCGAUACACAUGUCAGGAUUUUUAAAGCCUGGAAUCCUGCUAUCUGUUGAGCUCAAUCUAUUGUUGUCUCCUUCGCUUUGACCCUGGAGAACUUUUUAUCUUUUGCUCCCAAUCAUUCCUUGACAAAACUGUAAAAGACUUAAGGGAGUAAUGUCAUCUACAUUUCUCACUUAACCAUCAUAUAAUAAGAUAUAUAUUUUAUCUCUCUGGAAACUAACAGCUAUCUAGAUAAAAGGCAAAAUGACAGGUUUAAUGCAAGCAUAGGCCAAAAUGUAAAUAGUACUGGCUCUAUCCAUCAUCUCUAAAUAUUGAGUUUCAUUCUGUUGUAAGGGAAGUUUAUAUAUGUUACCGCCAGUUUUCCUAUCUCACAUAUAGAGAGAUGAGUACUCUGAACAUCCACUCUACAUCUUACUUGCCAAACUAUGAACCAUAGAACAAGUGCUUGUGAUAAUUCAGUGGAUCAUACCUAUGUCAUUAUCUUAAGUAUUAGUGUCAGAUUGGCAGUGAGGGAGACUUCUCAACACAGCCUUAUGGGAAAACCUCAUUGUGGUUGGCUGUUUAUAUUUUAUGUGAAUCAAAUGACACACACGUUUUUCUUACUCAUGUUUGUCAUGAAUAGUGCUAAAUAUAUGACAUGUAGGAAAUAAAGGAGGAAGGGUUGUUUCUAGAUUAUUGUUCUAGACCUACUAUUGGCAGUGUCGGCAAAAGCAUGGAGAAUGGAGCAGGAAGCAGGUGAUGAUAUUAUUUCCAUAGUAGAAAGGCAGAGUGCCAGAAGAAGUAGUCUCUGCUAUCAAACAUCAAGACCCACCCCUACUGAUCAUCUUUCUUCAGUGAGGCUCUAUCUCCUAAUGGCUCCCACUAUAUUCCCAAACAGGAUCUCCAGCUGGUAUCUAAGUUUUCAAAAACAUAUGCCAGUGGAGGACAUUUACAUUUAAACCAUAACAGUGACCUUCCUUCUGCUCAAAACCUUAGAGACACUCAAUCUAUGUCCCCUCUAAAAACAAAUGACAAGAAAGAGAAGAGGCUGAUAAGAAACCAUAGAUGUUCUCCUUCCAUGAUACUCACAGGAGUAAAAUCCUUUGCCCACUCCAAGGAGUUCCAGAUGUACAGGCCAUACUAAAGUAGCUCAGGCUCUACCUCUUCAGAGCAGUCAUUCAAGGUUAAAUAUGAUGUUUCCAUACUAAGCCAAUACUUCUACUGAAAAUCUUAGAGCCCAGUGUUUUCUGAGUCUCAGUAUGUUCUUUAUAAGGUUUUGACAAAAAUCAACAUAGACACUAACCCUACUGUUCUUGUUGUAUGUGCAUGUGGCUGAAGAUAUAUGUGCACAUGUGUACUGUGCAGGUGGAGGACUGAGAUCAGUGAUACAGGAAUUUCUCUAGCAUUCUAGAUAACAUUUUUUAUUUUGAAGCAAGUUUCGUCACUAAAUCUGCAACCUGCUUAUUUAUGAAGUCUCAUUUUCCAGAGAACUCCCAGGAGUUACCUGUCUCUGACUCCCAUCUUGGGCUUGUAAGUGUACCAUUCUCCAAGACUUUUAUGUGCAUGCUGAAGUUUUCAAACCCAGUCCUCAUCUUUGGCAGAAAUCACAACAAGGUCUAUGUUCCUUAUUCUCCCUAAACUCAGCACACUCCUCAGUGUCCUUCGCCUCCCUUGAUGCCCCCUAUUCUUAUCAGGUCUGGCCACCAAACCUUUUGUCUUCUUUUGGAUUUUAGCAACAGAAACUGCCCAGUCCUAUGGACUGAGAAAUGGGAAAACAUUGAGAUUGAAUCUAGCACCUGUGAUCACUAAGCAUAUGACCUUAUACUAGUAGGUGGUAAACUUUCAGGGCAUCUGCCUGUUUUGUUUUAUUAAAAAGAGAGCUAGGAUAUGUGCGAUAAAGCACAGCAUGGUAUGGUGAGGUGGAAGUGAUACCUCAGUGGACCCUGUGGAAGCAUCCCCUUCUCCUGAUGAGGCCACCCAUAUGAUGAGUACAGUGAAGAAUAUGGUUUACUUAGGGCAUACAGAAAGGAGUUGAGAAGGGAGUAGAGGGAGAGAAAGGGAGAGAGAGAGAGAGAGAGAGAGAGAGAGAGAGAGAGAGAGAGAGAGAGAGAGGAAUAAGAAGAAGAAAAGGAGAGAAGAAAAGAAGAGAAGGGAAGGAAAGAGUAUCAAAGAGAGAAAAGACAGAGGGAGUGAGAGAGAGGAGGGGACAAACCACCCCUUAUAUUGUUAGCUUGGCUUACCUGGCUGUUGACAACUAACUGUUGGGUGGAGCCUAAAAGAAAUGCCAACAUUUCUCAGCUUUGAUCUAAUUUAAAAAAAAAAAAAACAAAAACAAAAAAACAA